GGAAGGUAACGGCGCUCCAUGCAGUCAUGCCAGCCACAUGACCUUGGAGGUGUCUACGGACAACGCCGGCUCUUCAGCUUAGAAAUGGAGAUGUCAGACAUGACUGGACUUAACGUCAGGGGAAACCUUUACCUUUACUAAUCCCAUCUUCUCCAGGAGCCCCAUGGCAGACCCCUGACUCAGGUAUAUUGCAGACUUAACUCCAUCCUCUCCAGUACCCAAUAAGUCUGGCUCUCUUGAUCUGUUUUCCCAAGACUUUUGCUUCUUUCAUCCUUGUACUGUUCUUCAGGAAUGAUAUGAAACAAACCGUCAAACAUUACAAAUCACUUUUGGUCAAACUGAUCCGGACCCAAGCCUAAUUCACUCUUUCAUGGGUGAAUUUCUCUCACUGUUGUCUCACCCCCAUUCUCAUGUUUAGUAAGUUUUUUUCUGUUUCUGGUAGAAUCCUUCAGAAAUUAAUUUGUAUUGGGAAUGUCUUCUCCUCCUGCAAAUAAGUAUAUAUCUUACUACCCAGGUAUAUAAUGUUAUUAAAUCAAUGGACAUGAUGUAGAGCAUAGAGCCAGGUAUUCCUUUUUUUUUUUUUUUUUUUGCAUAAGGUGAAGGAAAGCAACCUGCAUUUGAAGAUUAACAUGCAUGUAUGUACGUGUGUGUAUUCCCUGGGCGAUCUGUUAGAAGGAGCACUUGCACAUGCCUUCCCUCUCUCUCUUGACAAAAAAGUCUCACCCCCAUUCUUAACUAGGAAUCGUUUGUAAGUCAGAUGUUAGUAACUCAGGGACUACCUCUAUAACCUGCAUUUCUCAUCAAAAGUGCAGGAACUUUGUGAAGACAUUAAGGAGUCCACUCAGGGUAAUUAUUGAUUUUCAUGUCCAUGUGCACAUGUGCUAAAGAGCUAAACAAUCACUACGUUAGCGAAGAUUGAAAUAGGUCAUGGAGACCAUCUUGCAUCAUUUUAUUAAGCAUCUGCAUGCAUCUUUUUUCUUAAAUUUACAUAUUUUAAGGUAAAGGUUUUCCCCUGAUAUUAAGUCCAGUCGUGUCUGAUUCUGGGGAUUAGUGCUCAUCUCCAUUUCUAAGCUAAAGAGCCGGCAUUGUCCGUAGAUGCCUCCAAGGUCAUGUGGCCGGUAUGACUGCAUGGAGUGCCGUUACAUAUACCUUGCCAUUUUUAAUUCUUGUUAAGCAUUCCUGAGGGGGUAAUGAAUGCAAAAUAUCUUGCAUUUUAAUGAAAAAUUAUUUCUAUCUUUCUUGAUGCAUGCAAUCUACUCAGAAGUAGACUCUUUGAGUUCAAAUAGGUAUACAAACCAGGCUUAUGUAUUUGCAUUUAUCCAUUUGCUCCUGCUGAUAUGAGAAAGCUAAUUAGGGGUAGUUCAUUUUCUAUUUCAGGCUGAGAAUGACACGACUAAUUGAGUUAAUUAGGGUAAAGAAUACAAUGACUGCAAAACAUAAGUGGGCCAUCCAUUUUUGUUUACCUUGUCUGAAAAUAAAAUAAUAUAAAAUAUACAUUUGGAAGCUCAACAUGCAGUCACUGAAUAAGAUCUCUUUAAAAUUCUGGAGAUAAAUUGUGUCUUAAAGAUCUCAUAAAAUAAGUAUUAAAUGCAGGAUGAAAAAAGUAUUUGUGCAUUACAUGAUGAUUAUAGAGAUAAUUUACUUUGCUAAUACAUUUUCCCUCCAAAACAACAUUAUAUUUAGAAGAUCAUUUAUAAUAAUGUUUAUCUAUCUAGUGUUAAACUGGGCAUGACAUAGCUAGCCUUGCUAGACUGUAACAUUGCAAAACAGUUUCCCAGAAUUGUUUAGGAAUACCGAAGCAGCGUGAUACUGUUUUUUUCUUAUGAAUUAAACAGAUUCCUAGAUAUAGUGAUACUAGGAUAUAGAAAGUUAAAAGGUUUUCCCCUGACGUUAAAUCCAGUCGUGACCGACUCUGGGGGUUGGUGCUCAUCUCCAUUUCUAAGUCGAAGAGCCGGCAUUGUCCGUAGACACCUCCAAGGUCAUGUGGCCGGCAUGACUUCAUGGAGCGCCGUUAUCUUCCCACCAGAGCAGUACCUAUUGAUUUACUCACAUUUGCAUGUUUUUGAACUGCUAGGUUGGUAGAAGAAGGAUAUAGAUAUACAGUAGAGUGUCACUUAUCCAACACUCACUUAUCCAACGUUCUGGAUCAUCCAAUGUAUUUUUGUAGUCAGUGUUUUCGAUGCAUUGUGAUAUUUUGAUGCUAAAUUCGUAAAUACAGUAAUUACUACAUAGCAUUAAUGUGUAAUGAACUACGUUUUCUGUCAAAUUUGUUGUAUAACAUGAUGUUUUGGUGGUUAAUUUGUAAAAUCAUAAUCUAUUUUGAUGUUUAAUAGGCUUUUUCUUAAUCUCUCCUUAUUAUCCAACAUAUUCACUUAUCUAACAUUCUGCCGGCUCGUUUAUGUUGGAUAAGUGAGACUCUACUGUAUAUAGAUAUAUAGAAAGCUGCUUAUAUAUUGAUCUCUGACUUGUCUAGGUUACAGCUAGAGCUGGCAUGGGCAAACUUCAGCCCUCCAGGUGUUUUGGACUUCACCUCCCACAAUUCCCUUACAACAAUGCUUGCAGCCCGGAAAACUCACAGCAAACAUUACAAGGUUGGAACUUAUUUUCUACUUUAAAAAAUGAUAUUUUUCACGGCAAAAACAAGAAUCUAGUCCAGAAACAAAAAUGGAUUCUUACAUAGAAAAGUCUUAGGAUCUUUUCACAUGGGACAUUUUUGCCCCGUUUUGCCACUUUUAUGUGUGGCUUGGAUAGGGCCUGCCAUACAAGAUCACACGACAUAUGGCAGGUCCCACCCACAUUCCUCGCAAAGUGGAGGGAAAGCACUGGAAAGUGCUUCCUCCACCACUACGAGGAGGAAAGAGUAUUUUGGGUAGCUCCAAUAGAACUACCUGCACUUUCCUCCCCUUUUUGCCAUAUGAAGGCAGAAAGUUGGCAGGGCAAUGCAUGUUGCUGCACAUUGCUGUUUUUUUUUUUUGCCAUUUGAUGGGGGGAAACCCUGCUCCAUCCCCACCAUGUGAUGAGGGAAGGAAGGAGAGUGUGCGGGGAGCCACGAGCCAUCCUGCAAGCCUUCCCUUUAUUGGUGCAAUGGCAUGGCCUGACAAGGCCAUGUGAAGUGUUCUCUAAGCUAUGUAUGUGUGGGGCUUAUUCCUUUUUUCACACACCUACACUCUGGAAAACCCUUUUCAACCUUUGAUCAAAUAUUUUCAAAUAUCCUUUACAGUGGUUCAUUUGUAAUCACAAAUUCAUUGACAAAAGGAAAUGUAAAAAGUAUAAUACGAGUUUUAUGUAAUUUUAUAUCAAACAUCAUCUGAUCCCAUUCGUCAUAUUCCUAGGAACAAGGUAAAAUAUUGGUUCUAGACCUAGUCAUGCUUAGAAUAGACCAAUAAAGCCAUUGUCCUCCCAACCCUGUUCUACACCUGCGAAACAUGGACGGUCUACAGAUUUCACACCUAACUCCUGGAGCAUUUCCAUCAGCGUUUCCUCAGAAAAAUCCUGCAAAUUUCUUGGGAAGACAGGCGGACAAAUGUCAGCAUGCUUGCGGAAGCGAAGACCACCAGCAUUGAAGCGAUGCUCCAACGCCAUCAACUUCGCUGGACUGGCCACAUUGUCCGAAUGCCCGAUCACCAUCUCCCAAAGCAGUUGCUCUACUCUGAACUCAAGAACGGGAAACAUAAUGUUGGUGGGCAGGAAAAAAGAUUUAAAGAUGGGCUUAAAGCCAAACUUAAAAACUGUGGCAUAGACACUGAGAACUGGGAAGCCCUGGCCCUUGAGUGCUCUAAUUGGAGGUCAGCUGUGACCAGCAGUGCUGUGGAGUUCGAAGAGGCACGAAUGGAGGGCUUAAGGGAGAAACGUGCCAAGAGGAAGGCCCGUCAAGCCAACCCUGACCGGGACCACCUUCCACCUGGAAACCGAUGUUCUCACUGCGGGAGAACAUGCAGAUCAAGAAUAGGUCUCUUCAGCUAUCUAUGGAUCUAUCCCCAAGACAGCGAAGACAGAGGACCAUCAUCCUCGAACUACGAGGGAUCGCCUAAGUAAGUAGUAAGACUAAUAACAUCAAUGGACCAGUCUGUCAUAAUAGAUUACUGUAUAUACUCGAAUAUAAGCCAACCCAAAUAUAAUCUGCGGCAUCUAAUUUUACCACAAAAAAACUGGGAAAUCAUUGACUCAUGUAUAAGCCGAGGGUGGGAAAUUUCAGAAAUAAAAAUAGAUACCAAAAAAUUACAUUAAUUGAGGUAUCAGUAGGUUAAAUGUUUUUGAAUAUUUACAUCAAGCUCCAAUUUAAGAUAAGACUGUCGAACUCUGAUUAAAUCAUUAUUCUCAUCUUCUUCGAUGUAAAUGUGCUUAUGUAUCCUUUUAAUAAUAAUAGAGUAAAAUAAUACAUGUAAUAAUAAUAAUAAAUACAGGAAAAUAAUACAUGUAAUAAUAAAUAGAGUAGAAUAAUAAAUGUAAUAAUAAUAAGAUCAGAGUGAAAUAAUAAAUGUAUUAUUAUUAAUAAUAAUAAAAAUAGAAUAAAAUAAAUGUAAUAGUAGCAACAAUAAUAGAGUACAAUAAUAAAUGUAAUAAUAAUAGAGUAAAAUAAUAAAUGUAAUAAUACCAAUAAGAAUAGAGAAAAAAAAUAAAUGUACCAUAUAUUCUCGAGUAUAAGUUGACCCCAAAAUAAGCCAACCAGGAUCCACACCCGAGUAUAAGCCGAGGGGGGGCUUUUUUAGUCCUAAAAAAGGGCUGAAAAACUAGGCUUAUACUCGAGUAUAUAGAGUAAAUCCUUUUGAUUUCAAAGGCUUUAUUGUAAAGCUGAAUUAAAUCUGGAUCCAAUCCUCCAUACAGAGCGAAAAUAGGCAUUGGCAAUCUAUUCUUAAUCUAUGCUCCCCAUAGCCUUUUAAGAACUGUAGCUUGGAAGUAUCGCAAAUAGUGAGCAAAUAUUCUUAAAAUUAAUCUGUAAUAUGUCUUACCUUUCUUUGCAGUUUGUGUGUGUGUAGAUAUACACAUGUAUAUUAUUUUUAUGUAUUUGCACACUGCACACACAGAGACACAGACACAUAUUUCUACCCUUGAGGCUUUAAGAAUACUUUCAGAACUUUAUAAUUAGUGUUUGUGGAAAUUUUACGUUACUCUUAUAAAACCUCUCAUUAGCAGUGCACAUUCAUUGCUUUAUUUAUUAAUUUACUUGCUUACUUUUAUUUAUUAAAUUAUUUUGAUGCUUCACAGCUUGAUACAUUUUUAGCAAGUUCUAGACUUUACCUCUGAGGCCUAUGCUGACAUAAGCUCCAUUAACAUGAGCAGCUCUCCCAGUAACUGCACUUUUGAAGCCCGAGGUUAUCAUUUUCUUCCACUUGCUAAUGAGGUGAACCGGGGGAAGAAAGGAAGAGAAAGAGUUUCCUUAAUUGAUAAUUUUCUAGCUGACAGUCAUUGAGAGUCCCCAAUGGAAGAUUCAGAUAGAAAAGAUGCAGACAAGAACUCCUUUUUAAAAAGGAUAAUAAAUUCAAUUAAAAAGAGCUGUUUUUAAUGGCUGUGAGAUGGCACCUCUUGAAGCAGCUAUCAAAGAAGAAAUUAUGCAACAAAUCCUUGUCAAAUGGUUUAGAACACACGGAUGACAUGUACUGCUAUGUUUUAGAUGUUACUUUCUCUCUCCUCCAUUCCUUCUCUCAUUUCCAAUGUGCUGUGUUUUCAGACAACAGGAGAGAUAUGCUAGAAAGAUGGGGUUCUUUGACAUAAGCACUCUGCCCCACAGUGACUUCAGUAAAACCUCAGCAACCGCUUCUGGAGAAGGGCAUUUUGAGAGAGGGUCCUGAGUACACAAACCUUUCUCUCCUCAUGUUUCUCUCACUAAAAAGAUUUAUUUGAAAGUUGAUGAGGUUUUAUUUUUUAACUAUGACACAAGAUAGCUAGAAACCUGGUACCAUGGAGACAACUCUGCCUGGAAACACAUGUCAUUCGAUGUGGCCACUCUAUAGCUUCAGUCUCCAUGGAGAAACUGGAACUCUUCUGGGUAUAUUUUGUUAGAUGUUAGAAGUUCAUUUGAAUCAGUUGUGCCACUAGUGUGUGUAGAAGGGGGAGACACCGAUAGUUACAAGUUAUAGCCAGAAAACCUGGAUUUCCAUUGCUCCCAGUACAUCAAUCUACACUACUGCAUUCAUGUAAAAUAUUUAACUCCUAAAGUUGGAAGAGCUCCCAAGGGCCAUCAAGUUCAAUCUGCUACUAUGCAGAAAAACACCAUCAAAACCCCCCUGAUAAAUAGUUAUCCAGACUGUUUAAAAAAACCCAAAGAAGGCAUCACCACCAUAUUCCCAGGAAGCAUAUUCCACUGUCAAGCAGCUCUUACCAUCAGGAAGCUCUUUCUAAUGUUUAGGUGGAAUCUCUUUUCAUGUAGUUUGAAUCCAUGAAGCUUGAAACUUGCUCCAGUAAGAUUUAAUAGCUUCUGUGUUUCUGCACCAGUAAAUCUGCUCUAGAAGUCAACCUGAACGUUCAAAAGGUACUACUACAUGCUCAAACUAUUUGGGAGAAAGAGUUCAGCAUCUUGAAUAGUUCCAAUAAGAUUUGGGCUAAAACUUGAAAUAGAUUAUCCAGCACCAGCACGCCCGACAAUAGCCAUCAGCUUCUCGGCUCUCCACACAAUUGAAUGAGGCCAGUACCUAUGAUUUAGGUCAAGGCUUUUUAUAAGACCUUGACAAAAUAUGCAAAUUUAUUUUUCAGUUUAGGUGAAAUGCAGUAGAAAAUGACAAAUGUGACAGUCUCUAGACAGCUAGGUGGAGGAGCUGCCUCAUUGACACUUACACUGACUGGCUUUCUCAGUCCCAAAUUGCUUUAAAAUCAUUAUAGAAUGGUGCAUCAUUCUGCCAACCUUGUGUCCAGCCUGCUUGUAUUGCAAGGUAUGAACAUUCAUGGUUGAAACAAGAGUACCUAAAAGUUUUAGCCACUUCAACCACUGAGAAUCAAAGUUGCUUUUACAUUUACUUUUGCCUUCCAGGUUCUCAGUCAAACUUCCUAAUUUGUCCAAUAUUAGCUUUCCAUUUGACUCCAGAUUCUCUGUGUGUCUGCAUAGCAAUGAUUGAUCCUAUCAACAAUUCUGGUUUUUUUUUAUCAUUGUGCUGCUGCAUAACUACUUGCUAUAAUGCAAUUGAAAGGCCUACCCACAUUCAUGGCCAGCAUAGCUGGCUUUUCAUAUGUGGAAUUGCCACUUAGGCUUAAUAUGUCUUGCCCUCCGGUCUUCUCAUGAAAAUGCAUCAAGAACAGAUUGCCCACUACUGAUAUGCCAAAAUCUUGUAUCUCUGAUAGAACACGCUGCUUUAUUGCUGACUACAUGCAGUGAUGUCCUGUGGCUUGCAUCAUAAUUCUAGUUCAUAGUAAGACAUCUAUGUAUCAGUACCUACAUAAAAUAAAAAGAGAUUCAUCUGAUUAUGAUCCAAGACUAAAAUGCAUAGCUGACUCCCUCUGAAAUCCGCAGGUUUAAGCAUAUUAAGAACAUGGUUUUAAGCAAGCAAUGGGUGGAGGCAUUGUUUUGAAGUAUUAUUAGUUUCCUUGGUUAGCAUUUCAAAUUAUUGUAAAAAAGCUUAGAAGGUUUUUACUUUUUUAAUGCCCAUCAGAUCUUAAAACCAUCUGCAAACUCAAUUUCUUCUACAGGUCAGCUUAACUUUGAAUACUGUGAAAAUCUAUUAAUACAGGAAAGAUUUCAUGGAAAUUAAUGAGGAGUAUGAACAUGAAAAGGCCUAAAUUAUUAAAAUAAGGCAGAUCUUAAGGUUUCUGUUUGAAUUUUCCAGGCGUCUACUGCAUAUGCUUUGGAUGUCCCUUAUGAAUUUUGAUUUAUUUCUCAUAGUUGUAGAAGACAGUCAUUUGCUGAGAAAAGAUAGUGGGCAGACAGAAUAAACCGAAUGGAACUUAGAAAUUGUAGCUAAAAAGAAAAGAAAAGAAAAAAGAAAAGAAAUUGUAUCUGAAACUUUCUAUAAUAUUUUGAUGCAGUAGUUCUAUAUACCUUCAUUCAUCUGUAUUUUAUUACAUAUCUGUAUUUGGAUUGUUAAGAGUAAUGUGACUUUUUAGUCACCUUGUGAAUAAUCAUUUGAACACAUGAAGUAAAACAGGCAAUUUAUUGAAUUGAAUCAAUAUCAUAGGUGGUUCUCAUGCUGAACUUUGGAGUUUAGCAGCCACGAUAAUUGGAAAUCGAUAUUCUGCUGCAUUUUAGCAACUGAACAUGAAAAAUCACACUGUGACUACAUCUUUAUUGUAGCUGUUCAUUUCUUUUUGUGUUUCUUGUCAGGCAACAAAAAUAACUACCAUGUUUAAAACUUCCCUUUCAAUCAUCUUGAAGCUUGCUCUACCUUAGUUCAAAAAGACCGAAGACCAAUAAUUUUGUUUGCUACUUAAAAUAUUUUCUCAAUUAUGAAAGAGCACUACAUUAAUCAACAUUAAUGAAGCUUUCAUUAACCACUAGUUUCAAGUGUAACCACCAAUGUUAUUUUACAUAUUCUUUUUUAUCCAGGAUCAAACCUCUUGACAACAAUAUAACAAUAUGUGUAUUGUUAUUUAAAGUCAUGUUAAUAGGAACCAGAGACUAAAUCAAAAUCUUACUCACAACUAGAGUGGAUCCACUAAAUGAAUGGUACUUGUCAGUGUGCUGCAAAUGGAAACCACCUCUAUGUUGAAAUUAUCCUUCUACAACAUGUCCUACUUGAAACACACAAUACCAAGUUCACUUUCCAAAUCAGGAGGACUUGAUUGUGGAUGUACAGAGGUUAAGCAAAAGCUUCUCUCUCCCACUUCCACCCUUGUAGUACCUCUGAAUGGAUGUAAACUCUGCUCUGGGGUUCAAAAUAUAUGUAUGUAAACAGUU